CUUCAGACCGGCCGAGGAACACCCCCCAGAAGAGGAACCGGAAGGCGCGUUCGAUGUAACAAGAGUCACUUGGUGAGGCUGCCCUGACAGACACGAUUGUGGAAGACGAUGGCGAGGUCGAAUUCGAGGUGGUAGACGCAGGCUCAACGCGGAAAAAGAAUAAGCUGGUUUCUUCAGAUGGAUUUUCCUACUGCAUAAAGAAACAGACGGCCAGCAGCACCCAUUGGCGUUGCAGCGGGCAUAGAAAGGGCCAUUUGUGCGACGCGAGCCUGAAUCAGCGUGGAGAUAGCUUCACCCGUGGAACUGCA